CCAUGGGCGCCAGGCAGAGCGGCCCGGCCGCCGCCAACGGCCGCACGCGGGCCUACUCGGGCUCCGACUUGCCGUCGGGCGGCGCGGGCGCUAACGGGGUGGGGGCCCGGGCGGCGGCGGCGGCGGCGGCGGGAGGCCCCUCGGCCCCGCUGUCCGGCCCGGCCCCGCUCGUCCCGACGGCGGCCCGGAGCCGCUCCCUGGCCACCCCGGCGGCGUUGGCGGCGGGGGCGGCGGCGGCGGCCGGCCGAGCCGCCCCGGCUUCGGGCCCCCUCCCGAGCGGCGCCGUGGGCGCGGCCGGGGCCCCCUCCGGCUCGCAGGACUCUGUGAACAGCAGCCCCGACGACGGCGGCGUUGGCCGGGACCGGGACCGGGACCGUUCUGCCGGCGGCGGUGGCGGCGGCGGCGGCGGCGGCGGGCCCCGCCUGGUCAUCGGCUCUCUGCCCGCCCACCUGUCCCCGCACAUGUUUGGAGGCUUCAAGUGCCCAGUGUGUUCAAAGUUUGUACCUUCAGAUGAAAUGGAUUUGCAUCUUGUGAUGUGUUUAACAAAGCCAAGGAUAACCUAUAAUGAGGAUGUGCUGAGUAAAGAUGCUGGGGAAUGUGCAAUAUGCCUGGAAGAGUUGCAGCAGGGAGAUACGAUUGCAAGACUGCCUUGUCUAUGUAUAUAUCAUAAAGGUUGCAUAGACGAAUGGUUUGAGGUAAAUAGAUCUUGCCCUGAACACCCCUCAGAUUAAGGACCAGAUUCCUGUGUAUAGCAGAUGCCCAGAGAUUCAUCCCUGUAAAAAGCUCAACAGCUGCCCUGAUUAAUAAGGAAAGGCUUCAUCCCUCUCCUGGAAUACUAGCAGUAAAGCUACUUACCCCUCCAGUUUCCUCUUGAUAUUCAAGAAGACAGAACUUAAGUAUUUUCUUCAGUUACUUCAGUUGUUUCCUUCAUUUACUUCUGGGCUGCAGGCUUUCUUAUGUCGUCUUUUCAAGAUGCUUGGAAAACUGAAAAGAUAUGAGAAUCUGAAAACAAAUAUGCGGGCAUACCCAACCAGAAAUCUGAGUUCUGUGGAACUGGUUGACAAAGAUGGACAAUCAAAUGGAAGAAUCUCACUGAAAGGACAGUUGCUUGCCAUAGAGCUCAGUGUACCAAACUUGCAUAUAAAGGACACACAGGGAUUUUGAAAAUGCUGCACACUGAAUAGUCAUCUCCCCAGUUCUUGAUAAAUAUUUUGUAUUCAAACGCCAAAGUUAACUGAUUUCUUAGUUCAUUUUUUUUUUAAGUUCUUUAGCACUGCAAGCAGGUUAUGGUGUUUUCUUUUGAUUCAUCUUCCUUUUUUUCCAGCAUUUCUUCAUUUCUGAACUCCUGAAUGAGGAUGAUUACAUAUUUUCUUCUCAUGAAUUAAAAUUUCAAACGCCAAACUAAGAGAUAUAAUCUAUCAGUGAAAGUUUAUUCCUUGAAUAUCAAUCAUGGUCUCAGUGUCCAUGAUCUCAAAUCUGCAUCCCAACACACUUCCCCCCCCCCCCAUGAGUGGAAAAUGUAAAUUUCUGCAUAGGAAAAUAUAGUAUAUAUUUAAUUUUUUUAAUUGAAUAUUUAAUUUUGUCAGAAUGCAAUCCAAAGAGUAAAAUCAAGUUAGGUUGUUACAUUUGAACUGCUCAACUAAGAUUGCUACACUGUUACAGUUAAGACAUUCUCAUUUCUUUUUUAACUGCUUGCCGAUAAGACUACAGUGAAACAUAAACUUGCAGCUAUGCAACUUUUUUAGGAGAAUAAGAAUUACCAAUUUUAAAUGCUGCCAGCAACGGUAAUUUCAUUUUAACGGGUAUUUUUUCAUUUAAUUUUUUCAGGAAGUUAUUUUACUGUAUUUUAUUUUUCAUUUCCAGGCUGUCACUCUAGGUUUUGGGGGAGGGAGGGAGUCUGAAAUUUAGGUUAGUUACAGAAAUGAGCAAAAGAAGAGUUUCCAAGUUACUGGUAUUGAACUCUGGGGUUAGAACUCACUUUAAUUUUGGGGAACAUUUGAUGUAGAUUUAUUUUUUAAUCAAAAUUAGAACAUCUUUAAUCAUUUGUCACAAUCUAGAGGCUGGCAUUUGCUAAGUAAUGUUUUUUCACAAGUACCAACAUUUUCUUAAUUUAUAAUUUAUUCAUGUAUUAUUAUUGAACUGUGUGGAACAGAGUACCUGAAGAGACUUCUUAACGAAGUUGUCAGCAGGAAAAAAUUGUGAGCAAAAUUUUUUGAAUAACUAUUAGCAACAGUAAAAUAUAUCUGAAUAGUUCAAAAAAUACUGGAAGAGAUAUCAGGGCUAGAAAAGAACGUCUUUUAAAAAUCAAGAAUUUACAAAUAUGUAAUUUCUGCAUUUUCAACAUAAAGGAAAAAUGCUAUCAAUGAAUAUUAGCAGUGCACUUUAAUUGUAUGGCAUAAAUGAAAGUUGCCUAGUAAGGAUUUCUUACUGCAAACUUUUCCUCGAAAGGGUUUAGGUAUUAGGUUGUCCAUUUAAUGCUAUUGCACUCAUGUUUUUAAUUUCUUUAGUUUUUUUUUCCUAUUCUGUUGUUUCUGUUUUCUUUUAAGAAGGACAAGUACAGAAGCAAAUGCUGCUACCCAGAAUAACUUGUUGGUUGUAAACUGACUUUUCAAUUGCUUGCUUGGGAUUGUAGAGUAUAUAAAACACUUUUCCUUAGAGUUAUGAUGUGAAAUGCCUUUUGUUAUGCUGCAAGUGAUAAAAGAAAUCCAAAAUUCCUUGUGUCCCCUGACAGCAUAGUUUCAACUGGGCUUUUUAAACCGUUAAGGAAAAAGUUCCUCCUUCUUUAUUGGUCUUAUUAAAUCUCAAUGGAAUCCUUCUUAUGUCAUGUAUUUUAUAUUAUGUAAAUUUUUACUCCCCCUCCCCUUCAAAUUAUAAUCAAAUAAUACAUUAAUUUUCCCUAAUUGUGGUAAGAAUUAAUUUUGUUGCUUUGCAUUCUUGAAGGAAAAGUCAGUUAUGAAGCUCUGAUAGUUUACUGCCGACAUUUUCCUGGAGUUUAUUUUUAUGAUGUGAUUUGUUUCUUUAAUUUCAUUUGCUGAAAAUCAGUGUGAAAAUGUUGGUUUAAAAUUCACUUUUUGUGCACACUGGUAACUCUCCAAUCUGUCCCACAGAUCAAGGUGUUAAUGUUGUCAAAAUAAUUUGCUUUUCAAUGAAGAAAAUCAGUGUUGAUUAAUAUCCUGUUGUGCUAGAUUAUUAAAAUUUAUAUAGAGCAGAGUUUCAACUGAAAUUAGUCAUGGCUAGCCUUUCCUUUAAUAAAUUCUUCAGAAGCUAUCUUUAGCACUUAAAUUUAGAGCUUCUUCCGAUUACUUUUUCAAAAUAUUAAUCUCAUAUAAUUAUGUGUUAGAAAAUUGAAUUUGAAAUAAAAAUGCUCUAGAGUUUGGAUUCAAAACCAAAAGUUAAGAUAUUCUAGAAAAUGCAGGCAAUACACUGCUCUAAGUUACAGACUUCUUUUUAAAUACUCUAUAAUAAUGUUUGUUCACCACAUCUUUAUGUUAUCAGAGAGAUGUUUUAAGAUUUGAGUCCUAACUAUUGAAGGUUAAAUGUCCAGGUUUUGAUAUGAAGGCUGAAAAUCCUGAUUAGUGAUCGAAUUAGGCCCAUGUCACUUUUGUAAAUACUUUUUUUAAAGAAGAAAAUGUGCUGCCUUUAGGUAGGGAAAGGCCACUCCUGCAUAUAGGGGAAACAAUAGGUUUUAAGGUUUUUAUUUGAGUGCCAUGGUUGGUCUAUAAACACGUUGAUGCCAAUUUUGACUCCCCGAGGUUCCUUCAGCUGGCUCAUUUCUUGCCAUAGUAUGUAAAAGAAACUCAGGUUUUACUGCAAUGAGCAAUUUGUUAGUAGUCAGUAUAUUUUAAAAUCAUUUUCAAAACCUGAUCAUGAUCCUGGUCAUAGUCUGUGUUUCAAGAGCAGCAAUGUAAGUAAUGCAUGUUUGAGUGUUUGAUUUUCUGGACUAGAUGAUACAUCAAGAAAGUCACACUGCUGUUUAUUCUCUAUUCCUUAUAGUGCAACAGUUCUCUUUCUCUUUAAAUGCAAUGAGGUAUUUAAAUUUUCUCUUUUGACAUUUGACUUGAUUGAAGUGUAAAAGAAAAAAAUGCAUGUAAAGCCUUUCUGCAGUACCUGUAAUAUUUAUUUCAAAAAAUUAUUUGUUUAAAUGAGUUCAUUUGAGCUCAUUUGAGCAAUGUUAGAAAUUCAUUUUCAAGAUUUAAUUUACUACAGUAUUUCUCAAAUCAGGGGUCGGGUAGGUUAAGACCAAUGUUUUGAGUCUUUAUUUGAAAGACUAUGUAAACUAUGUAAAAAAAAAAACAAAAACCGCCAACUCUGGUAUUUACAUACUAAUGAAAUUGGAGGGUGAGAAUUUCCUAAUAAGCUCCACUAUUCACUAUUCUCUCAAGCCAUGCCAUACGUAAGAAGGGGAUUGAAUUCACCUUCUAAUUGGCUUCUACAUAAUUCAUCAACUGAUUUCCACAUCAUUUUUAGCUUGAAGAAUAUGUUCAAGUCAGUUUAAGCCAUUUUUCAGUGAGAGGAAAUUAGUGAAAUUAGUGAAGUGAUGAUCAUUAGUAUUAAUGCAAUUUGCCUAUCACAAGUAGGUGGCUUAGAAGAGGCAGCCAUUUUUCUUGCAGUUAAAGUUGCCUUAGGGAAAUCUUGUUAGGCAGCCAUUGUGAGAUUGACUGUAAAGUCAUUUUAUUAUUCUUGUGCAAGUGUUUUUUUCCUAGUAGAGAAGUGCCUAGCUCACAGGGAGUUGGGUUAUUUGCUUGCCUUUUCUUCUACAGUGUGUGACUUCUGAUUCAUUCUUUGGUUCUGUGACUAUGUAUGCUUUCUAUCUCUUGGGUUUUCAGCUUUCUUCCGUAGUUAGAUGUAGUCAUUCUAAGUGGCCACUUGAUAUCUUCCUUCGAGAUGAGAGGAAGGGUUUUCGCUAAUUGCCACUGGAAGCAAUGAUAUUCCUGUCUGAACAACAGCAGGGGCAGUUUUUCCAGUUGUUCAACUCUGUCCAAGCAAAUUGCCUGGAGUGUGGGACCCUGAAAUGACCUUUCAGCUUUUAAAAGCAAAAGCAAUAUGUUAUAUUUCAAACAGAGGUUUUGAUUUACAAUUGGUAAUGAAUGGCUUACCCCCACCCAGUCACUUGCUGGCAGUUUGCCAAAAGUAAGAGUCAAGAUCCUUCCCAAGACUAAAUGUGAGAAUGAAUCAUUGGUUUUUGAAGAUGGGGCAGGACAGUACUGUUUUAACUAAGGUCCAGAGAAUCGGUAUAUUCAAUUCAGAAGCUGUUUUCCCCAAAAUAAACAGCUGUGGGGUCUUUUUAAAAGGAAAGGCUUAAACUGGAAGUAAUUAAGAUGUAUCCUCUUCCAUGCCUUCUACCUAUGUCUCUAUAAAGGAGCUUCACCUCCUGACCAUUUUUUGGAGCAGUGGUACCUCCACAUUCUCCCUGCUCCCAGAGUAUGAAAAUUAGACCUCACACUGAUGGGUUAUAUUUGCCUUAAUCAGAUCUCUUUCGGCAGAAGGUGUUGUGCAACAAUGUAUUUCAUUUUACUUCUUCCACAUGUCUUGUAACUUAGGAGUUUCAAUGUUCACAAAUAAAAGAAACCACUUGUAAUCAUAACUGGUAACUAACCUCUUGAUGCAUUUGGUCAUGGUUUCCUUUCAGCUCUCCUGUAUCAGGAACUUGCAUCAAAUAUUCUGUGGUACCUAAAUAGUCACAAGCAUCCAGGUUUAACAUGUAUGAAAAGUUCUCGGGCACUAUCCAUCAGGUGUCUAUAAGCUUACCAGUUCGAAUUGAAGUGAAAUUCAACUACACUACCCCUGUUGUGUCUUGGGAAAUAAAUCUCCUAGCUAGCUUAAUCAAAGUAUCUCAAUAUUUUGAGAUGGAGAGGUGAGAGGAAGGCUCUUUUUUUAAAGGCAUAUGUUAUAGCCUUUACUAUGUGCCAGGCACUGUACUAAGCACUGGGGUAGAUACAAGUUAAUCAGGUUGGGCACAGCCCAUGUCCCACAUGGGGCUCCUGACCUGUAUCCCCAUUUUACAGGUGAAGUAACUGGAGCACAGAGGAGUCACAGCGGACAAAUGGUGGUACCGGGAUUAGAACUCAGGUCCUAGGCCUGUGCUCUUUCCACUAGGCCAUAGUGCUUCUCUUAAGGAACUGUAUUUUGGACUGCCCAAUUUUAGUGUAUUUAAAAGAUGAUAGCCCAGCAGUGCCAUGCAACUGAGGAAAGAAUAUAUUUUCUGACACCUUAUCAUUACUUAGAGUACAGUGUAAAGGACACAGCUACUUUUGCAUACCUCUUUCUAAGAAAAUAAAAUGGGGGGCCAGAAACAGUAAGUGAAACUUCAUAUCAGCUUAUGAAAUGCUUGAUUUUUGUAACAAUAAUAGGCAAGAAGUCUUCAUAAUUCCCAGCAUAAGCAAAGAAGGUCAUUUGAAAUGUUUAAGACAAAUACUGCUUGUAAACUUUGUAUUUGAGGAUGAUUGGAAGAUGAAACUGUAAAGUCUGUGGUUUUUUGGUCGUCUGGCAGUACACAAUCAUAUGAAUAUUUUUUCAGUGAUUUAGGAUAUGUUUAAUAACAUUCCAUUAUGUAAAAUAUGUAAUAAAUCUUUUGAAGCACAACGUG